rnacentral:rRNA from 1 species
CCUACGGGAGGCAGCAGUGGGGAAUAUUGCACAAUGGGGGAAACCCUGAUGCAGCGACGCCGCGUGAGUGAAGAAGUAUUUCGGUAUGUAAAGCUCUAUCAGCAGGGAAGAAAUAAAGUCCUUCGGACUUUGGACGGUACCUGACUAAGAAGCCCCGGCUAAAUACGUCCCAGCAGCCGCGGUAAUACGGCGGGGGAAAGCGUUAUCCGGGUUUACUGGGUGUAAAGGGAGCGUAGACGGCAGCGCAAGUCUGGAGUGAAAUCCCAUGGCUUAACCAUGGAACUGCAUUGGAAACUGGACUGCUGGAGUGCAGGAGAGGUAAGCGGAAUUCCUAGUGUAGCGGUGAAAUGCGUAGAUAUUAGGAGGAACACCAGUGGCGAAGGCGGCUUACUGGACUGUAACUGACGUUGAGGCUCGAAAGCGUGGGGAGCAAACAGGAUUAGAUACCCUAGUAGUC